rnacentral:rRNA from 1 species
UACGAAGGGGGCUAGCGUUGUUCGGAAUUACUGGGCGUAAAGCGCACGUAGGCGGAUAUUUAAGUCAGGGGUGAAAUCCCAGAGCUCAACUCUGGAACUGCCUUUGAUACUGGGUAUCUUGAGUAUGGAAGAGGUAAGUGGAAUUGCGAGUGUAGAGGUGAAAUUCGUAGAUAUUCGCAGGAACACCAGUGGCGAAGGCGGCUUACUGGUCCAUAACUGACGCUGAGGCGCGAAAGCUAGGGGAGCAAACAGG